AGGACGAACGCUGGCGGCGUGCCUAACACAUGCAAGUCGAGCGAGGAGAUUCCUCGGGAUGAUCCUAGCGGCGGACGGGUGAGUAACACGUGGGCAACUUGCCUCAUAGAGAGGAAUAGCCUUCCGAAAGGGAGAUUAAUACCUCAUAACAUUGCAGUUUCGCAUGAAACAGCAAUUAAAGGAGCAAUCCGCUAUGAGAUGGGCCCGCGGCGCAUUAGCUAGUUGGUGAGGUAACGGCUCACCAAGGCGACGAUGCGUAGCCGACCUGAGAGGGUGAUCGGCCACAUUGGGACUGAGACACGGCCCAGACUCCUACGGGAGGCAGCAGUGGGGAAUAUUGCACAAUGGGGGAAACCCUGAUGCAAGCAACGCCGCGUGAGUGAUGACGGCCUUCGGGUUGUAAAGCUCUGUCUUCAGGGACGAUAAUGACGGUACCUGAGGAGGAAGCCACGGCUAACUACGUGCCAGCAGCCGC
rnacentral:rRNA from 1 species